CUACGGGCUGCACCAGUGAGGAAUUUUGCGCAAUGGGGGAAACCCUGACGCAGCAACGCCGCGUGAGCGAAGAAGGCCUUCGGGUCGUAAAGCUCUGUCAAGUGGGAAAAACGUUUUCCGGUCAAUAGCCGGGAGAUCUGAUGGUACCGCUGAAGGAAGCACCGGCUAACUCCGUGCCAGCAGCCGCGGUAAUACGGAGGGUGCAAGCGUUGUUCGGAAUUAUUGGGCGUAAAGAGCGUGUAGGCGGUUUGGUAAGUCAGAUGUGAAAGCCCUGGGCUCAACCCGGGAAGUGCAUUUGAAACUGCUUUACUUGAGUAUGGGAGAGGAGAGUGGAAUUCCUGGUGUAGAGGUGAAAUUCGUAGAUAUUAGGAGGAACAUCUGUGGCGAAGGCGACUCUCUGGACCAAUACUGACGCUGAGACGCGAAAGCGUGGGUAGCAAACAGGAUUAGAUACCCCGGUAGUC
rnacentral:rRNA from 1 species